rnacentral:misc_RNA from 1 species
AACAAGGCGUACCUGCGGACCUGCGGAGGGAUCAUUACACAAUAAACAUAUGAAGGCUGCACCGCCAACAGGCGGCAAGGCUGGAGUAUUUUAUUACCCUUGUCUUUUGCGCACUUGUUGUUUCCUGGGCGGGUUCGCCCGCCUCCAGGACCACAUGAUAAACCUUUUUUAUGCAGUUGCAAUCAGCGUCAGUACAACAAAUGUAAAUCAUUUACAACUUUUAACAACGGAUCUCAGAUC